CGCCGCGGUAAACGUGGGGGACAGCGUUAUCCGGAUUCACUGGGCGUAAAGAGCGUUGAGGCGGUUCCGUAAGUUGGGCGUGAAAGCUCCGGGCUUAACCCGGAGAUGUCGUUCAAUACUGCGGGGCUUGAGGACAGCAGAGGAAGGUGGAAUUCCCGGUGUAGUGGUGAAAUGCGUAGAUAUCGGGAGGAACACCCGUGGCGAAGGCGGCCUUCUGGGCUGUUCCUGACGCUGAAGGCGAAAGCUAGGGGAGCGAACGGGAUUAGAUACCCCGGUAGUCCUAGCUGUAAACGAUGGAUGCUGGGUGUGGGGGGUGUAAAUUCCCUCUGUGCCGAAGCAAACGCGUUAAGCAUCCCGCCUGGGGACUACGGCCGCAAGGCUAAAACUCAAACGAAUUGACGGGGGCCCGCACAAGCAGCGGAGCGUGUGGUUUAAUUCGAUGCUACACGAAGAACCUUACCUGGGUUUGACAUGCACGUGGUAGGGAACCGAAAGGGGACCGACCUUCGGGAGCGUGCACAGGUGCUGCAUGGCUGUCGUCAGCUCGUGCCGUGAGGUGUCGGGUUAAGUCCCGUAACGAGCGCAACCCUUGCCCUUAGUUACAAGUGUCUAAGGGGACUGCCCGGGACAACUGGGAGGAAGGUGGGGAUGACGUCAAGUCAGCAUGGCCUUUAUAUCCAGGGCUACACACACGCUACAAUGGCCAGUACAAUAGGUAGCCAAGUCGU
rnacentral:rRNA from 1 species